AUGCAGUUGCUUGCGUAUUCAUGAUGAUUGCCCUGUGCUUGAGGCCACAUGGACUCCUCAUGACUAGCAAGUCAAUGCA
rnacentral:pre_miRNA from 1 species